rnacentral:rRNA from 1 species
GACGAACGCUGGCGGCGUGCCUAAUACAUGCAAGUAGAACGCUGAAGGAGGAGCUUGCUUCUCUGGAUGAGUUGCGAACGGGUGAGUAACGCGUAGGUAACCUGCCUGGUAGCGGGGGAUAACUAUUGGAAACGAUAGCUAAUACCGCAUAAGAGUAGAUGUUGCAUGACAUUUGCUUAAAAGGUGCAAUUGCAUCACUACCAGAUGGACCUGCGUUGUAUUAGCUAGUUGGUGGGGUAACGGCUCACCAAGGCGACGAUACAUAGCCGACCUGAGAGGGUGAUCGGCCACACUGGGACUGAGACACGGCCCAGACUCCUACGGGAGGCAGCAGUAGGGAAUCUUCGGCAAUGGACGGAAGUCUGACCGAGCAACGCCGCGUGAGUGAAGAAGGUUUUCGGAUCGUAAAGCUCGGUUGUAAGAGAAGAACGAGUGUGAGAGUGGAAAGUUCACACUGUGACGGUAUCUUACCAGAAAGGGACGGCUAACUACGUG